ensembl:snRNA U6 U6 spliceosomal RNA
GUACUUACUGCAGCAGCACACACACUAAAAUUGUAACUAUACAGAGAAGAUUAACAUGGUCCCUGCACAAAUCACAUGCAAACUCAUGAAACGUUCCAUUUUUUU